UGAAAGACAUAAAGUCGAUUCAUUUGAAUAUUAAGUAACUCAAGUGUCAUCUAUGUGAAUAUGCUGCUAGUUCAAAACAAAACCUUGACCUACAUAUAAAGAAAAUUCAUUUAUAGGUGAAGAAUCACAAAUGUCACAUAUGUGAAUAUGCCACUGCUUUAAAAAGAAGCCUUUAAGUCCAUAUAGAGUGGAUUCAUUUGGAAGGAACAUAAAUGUCACUUAUGUGAAUAUGACACUGCUGUAAAAAAAGCCUUGAAAAACAUAUAGAGUCGAUUUAUUUGAAAAUUAAGAAACACAAGUGUCAUCUAUCUGAAUAUGCUGCUAGUUCAUAACAAAACCUGGACCUACAUAUAAAGAAAAUUCAUUUAUAAGUGAAGAAUCACAAAUCAUUAACAUGGAAAAAAUGAAGCUGUUAUUGGAGACUGCAACUGCAACAAUUAUGGAAAAUUUAAAUUUGGAAUUGUAAGUUGAAGAACCGACUAGGAUUACACAUCACCCAUCUACUUGUUAGGAUAAUUUUUUCACCAAUAUAGAAAAUGGUACAAUUCUAGUAUUUCAACCGCAUUUAUCUGAUCAUUCAGAACGGUUGAUGUCUCUUGAGUUUGAAAAUGCAUACUUUCACAAAACUUAUGAGAAAAUAAAAUCUUGAUAAUUUGUGCAAGUUUAUUAGUCAAUUGUCCUUCUUUAAUUGGAAUGAUUUGUAUGACUUGGUGAAGAACGGGUGGAUGAGAUGUUGGAAUUCUUUUCUUGUAAUACUACAGUAUGUUUUAUCACGGAAUCAAUCAGAAUAUUCGCAACAAUACAAAUUAAUGAAAAAACAAUAUGAUCAGAAAAUAACACAGAAAAAAUCACAUAUUCGGACAACAAAACUAGAACCACUUGGGGUUUGAUUAAAUCACUAACUGGUAAACGUAAUACAAAAAAACAAGCUCUUCCAUCUGUAAAGCCACAACUGCUUGUGAACGAUUUCAAUGACUGUAACUAAUAUAACACAUACUGAAGAUUGUGGUGGGUUAAAGUAUGUAAAUGGAUCAUUCUUUGUUUUUGUUUCUAGUAAAUCAUGAAGAGUGGUUUGAAAAGUUCAAAAAUAAUAAUGUAAAAACAAGGCAAGUUGAUCAAUGUCUUUAUCCAGUACACUCUUCAAGUGUUACCCACAAUUAUGCAAUGUAUAUGCGUAUUAAAUUAUAUAAUGCUUCACAGAAGCAAUUUGGUGCUGUAUAUAGAGAAAUUUCAUUUAUUGAACGAAUUCAUUAUAAGGUGUGAACCAUGUAAUGUGGAUGAAUUUUUUUAUUUUUGUAAGAGGGGUAAGGGUUAUAAUUUUUUAAGGGAUGUAUUUGCUUGAUAUUUAUUCUUGUACAUUUUUAUGUCCUAUGAAAUGAAUAAAAGUUAUUAAUGAUCA